rnacentral:rRNA from 1 species
UGCGGUAAUUCCAGCUCCAAUAGUGUAUAUUAAAGUUGCUGUGAUUAAAACGCUCGUAGUUGAAUUAAAAUGUGAUUUUAUACAUUUUGAAGACUUUACAUUAAGUGAAGUUUCUAGAAAUGUUAAAUUAAAAUCAAAGAAGGAGACAAUUCAAGUAAUUGAGUUGUCAUUACUUUGAAUAAAAUAAGGUGUUUAAAGCAAAACAUUAUGUUAAUGAAUAUUCAAGCAUGGGACAAUGCUGAGGAGAUGUCAAUUAGACAUUUCGAGAGAAGGAUUAAAAGGAACAAUUGGGGUGAUUCAGAAAAUAACGGGAGAGGUGAAAAUCCAUGAUCGCUAUAAGAUGCACGAGAGCGAAAGCAUUUCACA